UCUCAGAGCUACACCAUCUUUUGAAACCCCAAAACUCCGACCACUGACUUCGACCAGAGUCGCCGCACGCAGCAAGUGGACGCCGCCGUGAGCGCCACCAGCUUAUCCUCUUCGUCUGGUAAGCCCUUCUCCUUAGUUGAGGCUUCUGGUUUAAUCUAGAUUGAAAUCCCUAACUCUAUCAUUUAAUUGGAAUUGUAUGAGGUUUUGUGGAGUCUGUGAAUUUGGGAUUUUUGGAGAGGAGAAGCUCUUGAGUCAGUUUCGAUUGAAGUGGGAAAUGGGAUCAGAAUGGAUGAAGAUGGUGGUGACUCAAGUCCCCGUUUCGAAAAGAAGAAAUGCUAAGUGUUGGUCCCUGCCAAACUGUGGGUUUUGGUACGGUGAUCGUAAAAUUCUAGAGGUUGUUAUCGAAUGAAAUGAAAAAUUGGUGUACGUUUCCUUGCUCUACGAAGAGAAAGGACAAUAAUCAAGAACGAUCGGUGCUUUGUCCUUUAUUAUCUGGUUGCCUUUAUUAUGUGGGUACAGGAUUAGACGAACUUCACUUGCGGGAAGCUCAACUUCAAAGUUCAACACUUGCAGGAAGCUCAACUUCAAGUUCAGCACUUGGAUGUAAUGUAAAUGGAUUAUACAUGUUGAAGGAGCCAACAUCUCCACUGUUUUUCCACUCCGAGAAGCCUCUCCAUCAACAUCAGCCUUUCCUCUUGGCCGACAUCAAAACCGCCCAUCAACAUCACGAUCACUCAAAAGCUCGAAAUUUGGUGAGAUUGCAAAACAACCUAUGUCCGAAGGUGAUAAUUCCGCAAAGUCUGUUGACCGGAAAUUAUCAUAUCGAUUGUUUUACCUCAAUGCAAUUUUUUCGUAGACUGAGUUCAACUGAAUGAUAUCAUUAAUGACAUAUCAGACAAGAGCUCAACUCAUAUAUACCAUAUGAGCAAUUGAAGAGUGAACGAGGAAGCCAUGGAUUGGAGAGUGAUUACUAUUUUCUGGCAUUGAACUUUUCCCUCAACGAAUGAGCUUUUCCUCUGUAAAGGGCAGAAGCAAUAAUCAAAAACGAAUAUACUUCACUACUUGGAGAUGAGGCAAAGGGUUGGUUGGAUACCACAUAUCUGUCCCAAUCUGGCAAUUUUCGUAUCUCAAGAAGAAAUAAGUGCAGGGAACAACAUUUGUUCUGCAAGAGAGAGCUGAACUUAGGCAAAGACUAUUGUCAAUCAUGUCCACUGGUACAAGAGUUAAAGAGGUAAUCGAGGAGUUUAUUUCCUUAUAUCAAAGUAUAGGUGAAUUGGAACUCCAAGAAGGGGAAUGGGAAAUGGUUUGGAGUUGACAGGUUAUGUUUCUUUCCAAACAAUAAGUUCGGUUCGGUUCAGUCUUGGUCUUUGCUGUGGUUCUUCGUGUCGCUUAGAUUGAUAGUGAGGGAGGUUGUUGAUCGGCAUAGACAGUUUGGCGGCAUAAAAGGUUUGGUUAGAAGCUGCGUUUUUUUCGUGCGGCCCGAGUCUUGGCCUCUGUGUCCGGUUGUUGCUGGGUUCUGAAGAUCUUUGUUAGCAAAACGAAUAUCAAUAGAUAUGGAAACUUGCUCAAACGCAGUGUCAGAUCCAAUGCCUAAGCGGAGAAAAAGUUAAGAGAGAUUUACUUUUGCAAAAUGCUGAAAGUGUUGAUAAACGCAAACGAAGAAGGACUACAUCUGCUGAAACAAGCUGCAAUUCUGGUCUGAGUAUGUCCAACAUUCAAGAAGUUGAAAAUGUCGUUUCACAUGAACACAGCAUUGGACAAGCGUCAUAUGAAAGAAACAGGCAUGUUCUGGAGUCAUCUUUUUCAAUUAUCAAGAACGAUAGAGAGAGAGAUAUAUAAAGAAAUCGGAGAAAGAGAGAGAGACAGAGAGGGAGAUCGGAGGCAAAUCCCUAAAGCAUAGAGUCGUUGCCCAGUCAAUCCAAUUGAAUCCGAUAAUUUCAAGCUAGGGUUCCAAAGUGUGAACCUUUAAUCCGUUAACGUAGAGCGGAUUUUUCUCAGCAAAGAGGUUUUGCUUUUGGAGUCUCUGUUGGAGAUUUAAUGCAAAAAAGGUUGUGUAUCAUUAGUUUGCCACUGUUCCUUAUUCUACUGUUUAGUGCUGUCAUCAUCAUCUGUCUGUAUUCAGAUUCUCGGAACAGUGUGCUUCCCCAUAGUUUAACAUUUCCCAUAGUGGAGUGACGGUUCUGCCCUUGCCUUUUUCUCACAAUUUCACGCUGCCAUUGACCGAGGUGUACUAGAUGAUUCCAUCGGUUUCUUCUCUCUUCUACGGCCGUAUAAUGUAACAGUGGAGUGACGGUUCUGCCCUUGCCUUUUUCUCACAAUUUCACACUGCCAUUGACCGAGGUGUACUAGAUGAUUCCAUCGGUUUCUUCUCUCUUCUACGGCCGUAUAACCCAAGUUUGCUGAAUUGUUGGGUGGGUUCUGCCGACACGGAGUGGGAAGAUUGAGUAGCCCAAUUUUUGUUUUUUGUCCCUUUCUCCUUGCUCUCAAUGUUCCAAAAAUACAGUGAGUAAUUGAAGCUGAUGGGACUCAUGAUAGAGAGAAGGAAGGGUGGUGAACUGGUGAUGUUGCUGAGUAAUUGAGCUUCGUCGAAGACAUACACAGCACAAACUUCCAGGAAUAGAUUCAUUGGAGGCUUGGCAAAGAGUUGGCUUGGUUGCUUACGUUUUGAAAAGCUUUAUCCUGAAUGCUGCUUCAGGAAACAAAGUGAAGGCUUGAACAAUAAGGAGCAGCACAAGGCAAAACAUUCCAAAACAUGCACCAGCACAAUUUUACAUUGACAAUGUUCUGCCUCGAAUCAAGGAGAAGAAGAUAAUGGCCCUGAAGUCUUUUGUUAAUCAACUUGGGUAUGUCAAUGUUCCUCAAGAAAUCAACAGGCUGAGGUGCGGGGUGAACUAUCACGCUCUUAAAUUUCUUCCUGAAAUAGAGCAGAUGGCUGAUUUAUUGGCAUCAAGGAUGAGAAACCGCACCGGAAGUUCCAAUCCUUAUAUGGUCCUGCAUCUUAGGUUUGAGAACGGCAUGGUAGAUCUAUCCUUCUGUGAUUUUUUGGGGAUGCUAAGGUAUUCAAAUUUCGGUUUGUAUAGUAAAACGCAAACUUAGUUCAAGGUGAAUGUCUUACCGGAAAAAAGGUCAGGUUGAAGAGAUACUUGGAGAUGAGGGGUGCUGAUGGAGGACCAGCCUUGGAGAAGCUUAUGUGCUUUGCUUGCAUUUUGGAUUAGGUUUUGGCUUAGAACAUAUCACUCUGGUUGGCUUAGAACCUACAAAAGAGUAUCAAUAAAUUUUUAGUCGCCGGGUAGCAAGAAAAAUGAUAAAGAAAUAUGUCUGGUACCAGGUUUUGGCGACUAGCUCAGCUCCUUCCUAGACACUUAUUUUUCUGAAUAUGGCAUGGAGGCCAUCUAUUUUGAUGAAGGUGCAAGGAACUCAAGAGCACACCAACUGGAAACAAGAGCAUUGGAUGUGACCUUUCGUGAAGAGUUGAAAGCAGUAAAUUAAAGGAUCUGCAGACUCAAAACCAACAAAUGCUGUGAACAAGGAACCAGCUAAAGAUGCGGAGUCUGAACUGCAAUCAUUGACAAGUUUUUUUUUGCCAAGUUUAACCAUUUUUUGUAAUAUGCACAUAUACGCGCCUACUUGGUUAUCAUAUUUUGAAAUCUGGCUAAAUUUCCAGAUUUUGGAUCAUGUAAAACAAUGUCUAAUGUAAUAUAUAACGCACACACUAAUGUUUGUAAAUUCAAUAUCGUCGAAUUCAAUAAUGUAUAUCGUCGAAUUCAAUAAUGUUGAUAAUAUACCCGCAGCAUCGCGCGGGCUAUUUCGCUAGU